AAUGUUCUUCUUCCUUCAUUACGUUGAUCUAUUGCUCAUUGUUGUCUAACUAAAUUAUUUUUUUAAAGAAUGAGUCGACAUCAUGCAAAUGGUUGUCAGGUGUGCGAUCUUGGGUGACCAAAGAGAUUAUACACAAUAUGAAAAACUCUGAAACGUGAUCAGUUGAGAAAUCAGUGAUGGCAAUAUUCACCUGUGGCCUUCUUCAUAAUCUGCAACAGUUGCCGAGCCUC